AAAAUGGAAGUAAACAAAUUAUUGUAACAGAUAAUUUAUUUCAGAACUGAAAUGUAUUGUUUUUGACUAUAAUUCUAUUGUUUUUCUGUAAAACACAGAAAGAAAGAAAUCAAAUACUCUUCAAAAAAAUAUUCAGGGGCUGGAGUGAUAGCACAGCGGGUAGGGCGUUUGCCUUGCACACGGCCAACCUGGGUUUGAUUCCCAGCAUCCCAUAUGGACUCCUGAGCACCACCAGGAGGGAGUGGGGGGAAGUCAUACCUAGCAGGGUUCAAGGCUUACUCCCAGCUCUGACUCCAACUGUUAAAUUUCCAAGUAAAAAGCAUGAGGACACAGGCAACUGAAACAUUCGGCACAGCAGCCGACAGCUGCCUCCCCAAGCUGAAUGACGGGUGAGGACCGGGGGAACAGAGAAACAGGAACUGGACUCCAGACUGAAUGAAGACCAGAUUCUAUUGCAAGAUGGAACUAAGAAGAACUUCUAUGAAAAGCAAUGAGAAAAGGUAUCACUGUAUCACUGUCAUCCCACUGCUCAUCGAUUUGCUCGAGCGGGCACCAGUAACGUCUCCAAGUGAGACCUGCUGUUACCAUUUCUGGCAUAUCAAAUAUGCCACGGGUAGCUUGCCAGGCUCUGCCAUGCAGGCAAGAUACUCUUGGUAGCUUGCCAGACUCUUCGAGAGGGACAAAGAAAUCAAACCCGGGUGGGCCGCAUGCAAGGCAAACGCCCUACCCGCUGUGCUACUGUAAAAAAGACAUACAUAGGAUGUCUUUUAUUUUCCAUACUUCCAUAGGAAAAUAAAAGACAUUUUAAUUAUUCGCAUGCUGUGGUAACACCCUAAAACUUUUAUUUAUAUAGACCAAUCUCGGUUUGAUUACUGGCAUCCCAAAUAGUCCCCAAGUACCACCAGAGAGUCACCCCCAAGCUCAGAGACAGAAAUAAGCCCUGAGCACUGCAGAAUAAUAAAUUAAUAAUUUAUUUACCUAUAAAGGAAAAUUCUGUGAUCCAUGUAGUUUUCAACUGAGUGCCAGAAGGAUGACACUGAGAGUCUGAGUACAGUGGGCAGGGUGCAUGCCUUACCUGCGGCCAACCGGAGUUCAAUACCUGGCACCCCAUAUGGUCCCCCAAAUACCACUAGGAGAGACCCAUGAGUACAGAGUCAGGAGAAGAUCCUGAGCACAGCUGGGUGUGGCCCCCCACCCUCCAGAAAAGUAUGACACUACUUUUAGUUCACUACUCCUAAAUGCCACAAUUGUUUCUCCCUGUUAUUCUGUGGCAAGUACCUUAGAACAAACUAAGCAGGAAUUUAAAAUGGCAAUGUACACGGCUAAGUGAUACCUUCAACAUACUCAAUAUCCUGUGCUCUAUGAACUACCAAGCAUUUAAGCUCUAGUAGCUGAAAUACUUAGCUAUCACAGCUUUUGCAGUGUCUCUUUUUAUCUUGAGGUACACUAUCUAAUUCUACAGUUAUUACCAUAUAUUACUCUAAAGUGAAAUUAAAAUCAUAAAUUGCAGUUCCUCAAUAGCACUGUUCAUAUUUCAAAUGCCCAACUGACCUACAACUACUUUAUUAAUCUAAGCCUUUUCUUUUUCUUUCUUUCUUUUUUUGGAGGGAGGGUGGUGAGGUGGGGAGUAUGUUAGGCCACACUUGGCAAUGCUCAGGGAUUACUCCUAGCGGUGCUGGGCAUCCAGAUGAGCUUUCAGGCAUCAAACCUGGGCUGGCCACAUACAAGGCAAGUGCCCUGCCUGCCAUACUAUCUCUUUGGCCCCUAGACUGAGCAUAUUCAUCUUUGUGAAAAAGUGCUACCAGGAGCUGGAGCUAUAGUACAGUGGGUAAGGUGUUUGCCUUGCAUGAGGUCAACCUGGAUCCCCAGCAUCCCAUAUGGUCCCCUGAGCACCACCGGGAGUAAUUCCUGAGUGCAGAGCCAGGAGUAACCCUUGAGCAUCGCCAGGUGUGACCCAAAAAGUGAAAAAAAAAAAAAAAAGGUGCUACCAGACAGCACUGGUUUAGAAAGAUUUAGUUUAUCAUUACAUAUCUUGAGAAAAAUGUAAAUAGACAUACUGGCUUACCAGCUGUUCAACAUCCCAAAAUUAGAAUUUGCACUGUUAGCAAAUAUUUAUAACAUAAUUACACUAUUUCUGUAAAAAUGUUGGGUUUACCAUAUAUAAGUGGAAAUUAUUGUGUGAUUACUCCAAGCUGCUAAACAAUGGACGUUUAAAGACUGAGUGUAAAAAUAAAUGAAUUAAUUAAAAUAAAAUAAAUAAAAGAGUCUUAAAUUGUAUGGUUUAGGGGUCAGAGCAAUAAUACAGCAGAUAUUUGCUGUAUUAUUUGCCUUGCAAACAGCUAAUCCGGGUUCAAU